CCAGUCCUCUAAUCUGUUGAGGUCUCUCUGCAGGGCCUCCCUGCCUUCAAGGGAGUCAACAGCUCCUCCCAGUUUUGUGUCAUCUGCAGACUUGCUUAGUAUCCCUUCCAGUCCUGUGUCCAAGUCAUUCAUGAAGAUGUUGAAGAGCACAGGGCCUAAGAUGGAGCCCUGUGGAACCCCACUAGUGACAGGUCACCAGUCUGAUGUUACCCAAUUCACUAUUACCCUCUGUGCUCGACUUGUGAGCCAAUUGCUCACCCACCACAUGAUGUGUUUAUCCAGCUGUGUGCUGGACAUUUUGUCCAGAAGGGUUCUGUGAGAGGCAAUAUGGAAAGCUUUACUGAAAUCCAAAAAGAUUACAUCAACUGGCUUCCCUUGAUCAUCUAGGUCUUCAAUUUUUGUGGCUCAGCAUAGGUCUUCUGAAGGGAUUUUGAAGCUCCGCUGAAUACUACCAGCUGAAUGUUGGCCAGAAUAUCUAAAACCUCUGAAUUACUAAGAGGUCUUUGGUGAGAGUGGUGGACUUAUCAACAGGACAUUACUUCUUUGCAACAAAGGAGAGAGACUAUGACUUUGCAUGCCUUGGAAGAAUUCCCAAAUUCCCCAAAGGAAUUUUGCAGGCAGAAGAGUUGAAAUUUCAGGAAGGAUAAAAUGUCUUGUUUGAAAA